rnacentral:lncRNA from 1 species
CCGCCCCGAAACCUCUCUCUCUCUCUCCAUUCCCUCGUGUUCUCACGUACAGCAGCGAAGAAGCCAGAAAUCAGAAGCUGCCAACGUCCCACCGAAGUUCUCUCCUCUCCACGCUGCCACUUGGCCGCGUCUGCUGGUUGUUUGGUCAACAAACCAGCGUUGAAGACCACUCAUCUUCGUGUCUUCAUCCGCAGGUCAGCAAACCAGCCCAUCUCUGAAGACCGAAGCCCCACAUGGCCUCACGCAGCUGAUUCUCUUCAGUUUCUUGUCAUCCGCAAGCCUCCACCAGCGAAUUCCUUUUUCGUUCGUUGACUCCACCGUUCGUGUCUUCGACUCAGCCGCCCACGAAGACACGAAACCCAGCUACAGUCUCGCCAAAGCUGCCACGUUGAAGCCCAUCUCCUCAAAGACCCAUACGAGCACCAGCCUUCUCGUGACUUCCUCUGGUCAGUCAACCGAAGUAGCUGGAGGACUCAAUGGAGCUGUUGCCGCGUCUUCUUUCUGCCGCGCGUUCAGUCGACCAAGCCGAUUGAGGUCAGCAGUCCAGGACCGGCGUUUCGUUGAAGCAGCCCAGCGUCUUCAAGUCUUCGACCCAAUUCCACUGCAACAGUCCACGAACCUCACGCCCAUUCAAAGCCCAACGAAAUUUGGCCCAUCAGCUUGUAAGUUCCAGCUCAGCUUGCAGAAUUCCAGCCCAAGUGAACAACAGUUUGGCCCACGUUUUCAGUCCAAGCAGAAUUAAGUCCAGAUCAAGUUCAGCCCAAGAUUCCAACAGUAAAGCCCAGCCUUGCUGAGAUUUGUUGGGCCUAAGCUUAAGGCCCAGUCCAAGUCCACCGGUGUUGUCGAAAGUCCAAUUUCGGCCGCCGUCGCGCUACCGUCAUGGUGAUUUGAUCCCCGCUUUUGAUCAAGUGAGUUUUACUCACUAAUGCUUUAUUAGUUUGCUAAUUAUGCUUAAGGUUGGUUAGAUUUAAUUAAGUGCAAUUAGGUGGUUAGAUUAGGUUAGAACAAUUAAAUUAGUGACUUAAUGAUGCAUGUUAGGUGGUUAGACUUAGUCAUUAGCAAGUAGAGAGCCUCUAAUAUUUAUUGAAUGUAUCUCGGGAUUUUUUCCGACCUGUUUUAGGCUCCAAUCAGGCAAUACGGGCCUAAAUUGGAUUUUUAAUAUUUAUUUAUUUAAUUUUCGAAAUUAAUUAUUUAAUUAAUUAUUUUUCUGGAAAUUCAACCGGGAUGGCUGGUGACCCGAAUUUCGUGCUGAUUGUCGUGGUGCAGCCCAUUUAUUUAUUUGAGCUCUACGUUGUGUGGAAUUAAAUUAAUUGUGAACUUUGAGGAUUUGUCCUUAAUUGUUUGUUAUUGAAUAUUUGGUUGGUAGAUGGCCGAGUAUGGGUAUAUAGCGCCAGUUACGUUGAUGGGCUAUAUAGUAGAGGGAAUGGUGAGAGCUAAUUGAGAAUGUUAUUGGCUGAGACCAAUCAGGUACGAUAUUAUUGGACAUACGUGGUUCGGUGAUUGGAAGUAUCACUGGCGAAAACGGCGCCUUAAAGAACGCACGUGAAUGACUUAUAGACAAACGUGGUUCGGUGAUUAAGGAAAUAUCACUGGUGAAAACGACUCCUUAAAGAACUCACGAUGUUGUCUAUUGCCGAUGUCACCUUGGCGAAAACGGCGCCCUAGAAAGGACACGUGGUUCGGUGAUUGAGGAUAUCACUGGUGAAAAUGACGCCUUAAAGAACGCACGGUGUCGGUGAUCGAUAUGUCAUUGGCAAAAACGACGCCCGAGAAACACGUGAUUUGGUGAAUGAGUACACCACUGGGAAAUCGUGGUAUGAGUGGGAAUGACCUAGAGAGGGUUUGACUGACAUGUAAUCGACUUAGUCGAUUGACCAGUGCUUGAUCGGAUGUUGUGAAUUGUUUGAAUAUCUGUGUUUAACCUUGAAUUGCAGGUUGGAACUGAGGCCAAGGUAAGUCCUUUGACUUGUGUUGUGCUUAGGCAACCGUAUGGCGUAUUAGUUUACUAAUCGAGUCUUAGGGGGUAGGACUCUGAUGCGUGAUGGGGUCCAUGGAGCUACGUUGGAUGCUCCUGCAUCAGACUCGCUGAGACGUGGUCUCAUUGGUUAUUGAAUAACCAUUUCAG